UGGAACUUGACACAGAAAGUCUUGGUGGG
rnacentral:piRNA from 1 species